UCCUGGCAGAAGGGGGAAAGGCACAAAAGAACAGCCAUGAAACCCUAUCCCUGUGCUUGGCCUGGAGCAAAGUGUUUUGUGGGUGUUGAAAGGUGUAAUCACUCAGGUUUUACUUAGGUUCAAAAGCAUUUUGUUCUUGAUCACCAGAGUUGAAUGCUCCUGCAUUUUUUCCCUCUGUCAAGAAAGCCUGGGCCACCCCUACUAAGAGCCCCCAAGUGAGUCGGCAUUGAAGGAAACAGCGCCCCGGGCUUCGGACUUUGGAGCUGAACACAAAUGCUCCUUAUGGUCAGUGUGUGUGCCCUGGCUGCCCUGAAUCCAGGGAGCUGGGGGUAAGCUGCAGUCUGUGAAUUUUGCUAGAGGAAAGAAAUGUUUCCUUCCCUGCUACCUCAAAUCCCUGACUAGCACAGAGAUGGGUUUUGUGACUUCCCUGGUCUGUCCCUCCUAUGGGGACAAAUGCCAGGCCCUCUUUCCCUCCUCCCCUUGAGCUAGAGGGCCAACCCUCCAGAGUCUACUCACCCAAUCCGUAGCCUGGCAAGGAGGCCCCUGGUAAAGCCUUUCUCCUCACCUGGAAGCCUUGCAGAAGCUCCCCUGCCCCAGUCCCCAGAUUAGCCCUUCCAGAGCCUCUUCCCAUCCUCUGCCUCCCCUGGCUCCUCCUCCCUCCCUUUGUGCUGGGAACCCUUCAGGGCACGCACCUGGGCUUCUGUGGCCUCCAGGAUGGCAGGCAGACUACUCUGGAGGGCCUGAGGCUCCAGACACUUCCUCCCCUCAAUAAGCAAAGCUUUGGGAGACUGCUUUCUUGCCACCAACCCAGGAACCUGUCUCCAUGGCAGCACACACGCAGCACCUGGGGCUGCCAGGUGGCCCAGUGUGCAGCCUCUUGAGCACACCUGCCUGGAGCCAAGGCCCAAGAGCUUCCUGGGCGGCGUGGGGAGGGAGAUGGGGGACCUGAGUUCCCCCCAGGCCAUGGCAACUAAUUUAACCUGGAAGCUAAGCACCCGCAAGAUUGUAGGCAGUCCCUUCAAGACCUGGAAUCCCUGGUCUGGAAAGAUGCAAACACCUUCUACCUGCCCACCUCCCCUCAGCCUUCAGUUACUACUACCACCAGGACGAUGCCAGAGGGGGCCUUGGUGGCCAGAGCCAAUCUGCACAUCAAAGACCUGAGCUUCCAUCUGGUCUCUGCACAUGCUGUGACCCUGGGCAAGUUGCUUUUUCUUCUCUGUAGAACACAGUUUCCCCAUCACAGAACAAAACCUACACGAAACCUUCUGCAGAGGAGCUGGUUUCAGUUGGCACCUGAGUUGCAGCAUCCCUUGUGGCUGCUGGAAGUUGUGUUCCCUGUUUAAUAAAAGGAAGAAUACAUACUGUUAAUUUUGUUAGGUACAAUAAUGGUAGUAUGAUGUUAAAAAUAAAUUCUUUUUUUAGACGAA